rnacentral:rRNA from 1 species
GAUGAACGCUGGCGGCGUGCUUAAUACAUGCAAGUCGAACGAAGCACCUUGGACAGAAUCCUUCGGGAGGAAGACCAUUGUGACUGAGUGGCGGACGGGUGAGUAACGCGUGGGUAACCUGCCUUGUACAGGGGGAUAACAGUUGGAAACGACUGCUAAUACCGCAUAAGCGCACGGUAUCGCAUGAUACAGUGUGAAAAACUCCGGUGGUAUAAGAUGGACCCGCGUCUGAUUAGCUGGUUGGUGAGGUAACGGCCCACCAAGGCAACGAUCAGUAGCCGGCCUGAGAGGGUGAACGGCCACAUUGGGACUGAGACACGGCCCAAACUCCUACGGGAGGCAGCAGUGGGGAAUAUUGCACAAUGGGGGAAACCCUGAUGCAGCGACGCCGCGUGAGUGAAGAAGUAUUUCGGUAUGUAAAGCUCUAUCAGCAGGGAAGAAAAUGACGGUACCUGACUAAGAAGCCCCGGCUAACUACGUG